AACUGGUUGAGGAGAGCUGCUGAUCUGAUCCAAAGAGGGCAUGGAUUGAAGAGAGCAACAGAAAUGUAGAAUGACUAAUGCAAAGGGAAAAUGGAGAGGAAAUUGCCUAAAGAGACACAGAGAGAGGCAGAGACAUAGGCAGAGGGAGAAGCAGGCUCCUCACAGGGAACCAGAUGUGGGACCCUAUCUCUGGACCAGAAUCAUGCUCUGAAUCAAAGGCAGACGCUCAACUGCUGAGCCACCCAGGCGUCCCUAAAACUUUUAUCUUCUAAUGUCUAAGAAAACAUAAAAUUAUUGUGGAUUUGGAUAAUCGAAGGAGGUACUGGAAAGGAGCUGUGACUAGAUCCAGGCCUUGAAGGAUUGGCAAUAAAGAGACAGAAGGAAGAAGGAGGAGGAGAAAGAUGUCAAACCGAGAUUAGAGAGACCCCACCCCCCACCCCACAGAAGUAUGUAAAGUCAUCCAGAGGAAGGAAAUUUUUCAGAGAAGACAACCAGGUUUCAUUUGCUUAAGGAGACACCAGCAUGAAAAUGAAAGCAAUCUGUGCACUGGGAGAAAAUGUAUAUAGUGCAAAUACCUGACAAAGGACAUGUGUCCAGAAUAUAUAGAGAAUUCUUACAACUCAAUAAGAAACAAUAACCCAAUUAAAACCAUGGGCAAAUGAUUUGAACUGAUACUUUACCAAAGAAGAUAUAUGGAUGGCUGAUAAACAAAUGAAGAGACACUUAACACUAUUAGUCAUAGAGAAAUGCAAAUUUAAACCACAAGGAGAUACCACUACCCACCUACUACUAUAGCUAAAAUUAAAAAGGCUGAAAAUAUCAAGUGUUACCAAGGAUGUAAGAGCAACUAGAAUGCUCAUACGUUACUGGUGAGAAUGUAAAAUGGUACAAUAACUUUGGAAAACGGUUUGGCAGUUUCUUACAAAGUUAAGUAUAUACUUACCAUAUGACCCAGCAAUUGUAGGGUUUUACGCAAGAGAAAUGUGAACAUAUCCAUGCAAAGUUUUAUAGAUUUUAUUUUAUUUUAAAGAUUUUGUAUUUAUUUAUUCACGACAGACACAGAGAAAGAGAGAGGCAGAGACACAGGAAGAGGGAGCAGCAGGCUCCAUGCAGGGAGCCUGACGUGGGACUCGAUCCCGGGUCUCCAGGAUCAUACCCCGGGCUGAAGGCGGCACUGAACCACUGUGCCACCGGGGCUGCCCACCAUGCAAAGUUUUAUACAGAAACAUUCUAGAAUGUUUAUUCAGCUUAUAAGAGUCUCGACUUGGAAACAAAUCAAAUGGCCAUAAACUGUUGAAUUAAUAAAUAAGUUGUGGUACAUCCUUAAAAUAGAAUAUACCAAGAAAUAAAAAUGAACCACUGAUACAUGCAAUAAUAUGGAUAAAUCUCAAAAAAAAAAUAUGCUGAAUGAGAGAUAUCAGACACAAAGAGUAUAUACUAUAACAAUUCCAUCUAUAUGAAAUUCUAGGAAAGGCAAAUAUAAUCUACAGUGAUCUGCAUGAUCUAUCUUUCUUCUCUACUGGAUCUUUCCCAUUAGAAUAAAACAUGUUGUUCUUUCUCCCACACCCAACCCAACAUUAAAGAGCACAUCAGCUGUUGCCUGGAGCUAGGGUUGGGGAGAUAAAUUUACUGCGAAGAAGGGGGCAAAAGGAAACUUUUGACCUGAUAGAAAUGUUCUAUGUCUUCAUUGUGGUAGUAGUUACAUGUAUAUAAGUUUGUCAAACCCAUCAAAAGGCACACUUAAAAUGAGUGUUUUGAAUUGUAUGUAAACUAUAGCUCUGUAUGUGUGUGCGUGUGCGCGCUUAUUAAGUUAAAUGUUAGCAAAUGGUAGAAACAAAGUAAGGAAGAAGGAUAAGGAAUGCAUGGGAAUGUGGUUUGAUGUCAUUUUUAAGUAGGUAGAAGCAGGAAGACCAAUUAGGAGGUUAUUGCAAUAAUCUAGGAGAGAGAUGAUGAUGAUUUAGUUAGACCGUAAUGGCAGCAGUAGAGAUAGUGAAAAGUGACCAAAUUUGGGUAGAUGUUGAAGACAGAGACAUAGGAGUCACUCAUGAAUUGUAUUUGGGGUGUGAGUAAAAGAGAGGAGUCAGGCACUAGUCCAAGAUAUUAAGCCUGAGCAACUGUGAGGAUAACAUUGAAAUGGGGCAAACCUUAUGGGGGAGUUUUUAGGGAAAGACCAGGAAUUCAAUUAGGACAUGUUAAAUUUGAGAUAUAUGUUAGACAUCCAAGUAGAGAUAUUGGGUAGGCAGAUAUGAAUCUAGAGUUCAGAGGAAAAUUCUAGACUGAACAUACAAGUUUAGAAGUCAUUGCCAUACAUGUGGUUUUUAAAACACCAGACUGGAUGAAUUCACCAAGACAGUAGAGAGAAAAGAAAAGAGUUCCAAGGACUGAGCGUGUAGCACUUCAAUGUCCAGAAGCCAAGGAGAGGAAGAGAAAUCAGCAUAGAGA